GAAGUAAAAGUCGUAACAAGGUCUCCGUUGGUGAACCAGCGGAGGGAUCAUUACCGAGUUUACAACUCCCAAACCCCUGUGAACAUACCAAUUGUUGCCUCGGCGGAUCAGCCCGCUCCCGGUAAAACGGGACGGCCCGCCAGAGGACCCCUAAACUCUGUUUCUAUAUGUAACUUCUGAGUAAAACCAUAAAUAAAUCAAAACUUUCAACAACGGAUCUCUUGGUUCUGGCAUCGAUGAAGAACGCAGCAAAAUGCGAUAAGUAAUGUGAAUUGCAGAAUUCAGUGAAUCAUCGAAUCUUUGAACGCACAUUGCGCCCGCCAGUAUUCUGGCGGGCAUGCCUGUUCGAGCGUCAUUUCAACCCUCAAGCCCUCGGGUUUGGUGUUGGGGAUCGGCGAGCCUCACGGCAAGCCGGCCCCGAAAUAUAGUGGCGGUCUCGCUGUAGCUUCCAUUGCGUAGUAGUAAAACCCUCGCAACUGGUACGCGGCGCGGCCAAGCCGUUAAACCCCCAACUUCUGAAUGUUGACCUCGGAUCAGGUAGGAAUACCCGCUGAACUUAAGCAUA
rnacentral:rRNA from 1 species